GUCGUCAGAGCUGUGUACACACAAUUUUGUUUUUCCACAUUCCAAAACAUUCAGUGACUUGUAAUGUAAUUUUGCGUGGUAAAUCAAUUACAUUCUGCACAGGAGAAAUGAACGAUACAUCAAGCAACUUAUAAGUUUCUUGACUUAAAGAAAAACAGUUAAAUGACUACAUUAUGGAUAUUGAAUUCCCCAAACAAGUGCACAUGGACGGAGUUCCUCUCCCUCUCUCCGCACUGCGGCUCUUGGUCCCUCCUGUACGCCUCAUGUCUGCCUUCAUGUGGAGAAUGGUGCAGCAGAAGGAUGUGAUGCAGUAUGGGAUGCUGGCAGAUUUUGUUUCAUUGGUGUCAGAAGCAGUUCCAGAACUAGUUAGUCAUAGACUUGGAGUUCAACUCAUACUAGGACUGCGUGCAAGGCUUGUUUUGGAAUUGUGUGAGAGAGACAACGCUGCCGACAUGCACGCAAUCCAGACUCACCUCAACGGCAUUCAGCUUGUGGAUCGCACUGUGGUGGGAGAAGCAGGUGUUCGUUUUGAGGAGCUGGUCCAAACACUUAUUAAAGAUGUGGAUGAGAAGGAGCAUUUCUUCCAGCACGUAUUUCCAGUGGAUUUCGGCACUGACUUUGACUUAGCCAUUCAGGUUCUGAUGUGGCAUUUCCUGUCUAAGUUGGAGAACUUCCUGCCAAUUCCUGACCUCCAGCAGACUCUGGCUUGGCUUGAUCCACUAUUGCCUGUUUCUGAAGACUGUGAGGAGUUCAACAGUCAGUCAGAUCACUUGAAGACACUGCUUGAGCACCACAAGAACCUUGGACAUCUAGAUACCAAAUACUCUUGUCAGGCCAUGAGUGCAGGUAACUGCAUCCUGUCCACACUCUCUGGUAAAGCCAGUGAGAUCCAUCAGAAGAGAGUAGGUCACGUGCACAUGUUCGACAGACCGACCUCAGACCCGAAAAGUGCUGUGGAAGCAGUAGGAGCAUCUGAAUGUACAGAGAAUCUGGUAGGACCGGAUGAAGUUGGAGAGCAUUUUAUUACAGAAUCAGAGUGUGCGAGAGGUGUGGGUUUGAACGAUUCUGUGCUAACACUUCCAGAAGACCACAGAUCUACAGAUGUAACAGAGAAAUCAGUCUCUAAUACUGAACAGUCAGAGUUUCUGUCUCCUCCUUUGGCUACACAAUCAGUGCCUGAAGAUAGUGCUCUACACAAAACAAUUAUGGGCAAACGCAGAUCUGCACAGAAGCCUAAAACCAUGUUGAAGAUUAAAGUGGUCAGCCUUCAAAAGCUGAAGAGAAAAUCAGAAACGUCUAAGAAAACAUAUGGAACAAACCUCCAGCAUCAGGCAGAAAACAAGAGUGACCCUAUAGACAAGUCUGAUUGCACCUCAAAUAACACAAAUGGAUCCUCUCGCACCUACUCAUGCUUGCAGUGUCCAUUCAGUCACUCUCACGAGGAAACCCUCAGGAGUCACAUACAGAAAGUCCACUCCAAUGAGGUAAUAGGAAGUGAGGCUGUGAUCGACACCUCUUUGCCUAACAGCUGCCACGUUUGUGGCAAAAGCUACCGCUUCCCAUGUUUAUUAAAAGCCCACCAGCGCACCCACACCAGAGAGCGUCCUUUUAUCUGUCCGGUAUCCAAAUGCGGCCGCAGUUUCUCCCAUUCCCAGGCUCUCCGUCGCCAUCGACUCGUUCACGCACCUAAUGAUGUUCCUGCGAAAAACAAACCACAAAAGCCAGAAUUCCAAACCUAUGACUGUCUAUAUUGCGUAGAGACCUUCAGCUCGCUCAGCGCCAGGAGAGACCAUCACAAGACCCACCCUGAAGAAGCAGUGCAUCGCUGCAAUGUCUGUGGGAAGCAGCUCAGCUGCCAGGCAGCUCUAAUCAGACACAAGCGGAUCCACACAGAGGAACGACCCUAUAAGUGUACCGAAUGUCAGUCCAGCUUUAUCUGCUCGACUUCGUAUAAACGGCAUCAGCUGACCCAUCAGCCAGAGAGACCAUUCCUUUGUACAUGUGGGAAGGGUUUCACAUACCGCGGUGCGCUUUUGGCUCAUCAGCGCAUCCAUUUGGAAGAGAGACCAUACCGUUGUAUGGACUGUGGGAAGGGGUUUCUUUACCCAGGCGCUUUGGCCAAACACCAGAGGACCCACUCCAAAGAGAAACCCAGCCUUAAUGCACAUUGUGGGAAGAACUGUACUAUAGAAAAAUCACUUUGUUCACACUCAGACAGCCACGGCACAGAGAAGACUUUUAAAUGCACCUUGUGCGAUAAGUCGUUCGCUUUUAAGGCUAGCUUGACCCGGCAUAAACUCACACACACCGGAGAAAGACCGUUCCUUUGCGCAGACUGCGGAAAAGCCUUUUUCUCCUUCGGAGAGUUGCUCAAGCACCAGCGCUACCACACAGGACAUAAACCUUUCCAAUGCCCGGACUGCAAAAAGAGUUUCACGCAAGCUUGCUACUUGCAGGUCCACAUGAGGCACCACACAGGCAUACGGCCUUAUUCGUGUUCUCAGUGUAACAAGAGUUUCUUCAGUUCUUGCCGGCUUAAGAGGCACCUGAGGAUUCACACGGGAGAGAAACCAUUCCAGUGCUUGGACUGCGGAAAAAGAUUUCAACAGUCUUAUCAUCUGAAAGUGCAUUUUCAGACUCAUGUAGAAAAAAGAUCUGAAAGCAGGACGUCUAAAGCUUCACUGAUGGCGUCAAAAAUCACUUAGCUUAAUGAAAAAAGAAAGGUUAAGCGUUUACACACUUUACGCAUUUUGUUAUAUUUGCUCUCAUACACAUGGGAAUCUGUAAUGUGGGUUAAAUUACAGUUGAAGUCAAAAGUUUACAUACACCUUGUAGAAUCUGCAAAAUGUUAAUUAUUUUAGCAAAAUAAGAGGGAUCAUACAAAAUGCAUGUUAUUUUUUUUAAAUUUAGUACUGACCUGAAUAAGAUAUUUCACAUACAAAGACAUUUACAUGUAGUCCACAAGAGAAAAUAACAGUUGCAUUUAUAAAAAAUGACCCUGUUUGUUGAUUCUUAAUAAUGUGUUGUUACCUGAAUGAUCCACAGCUGUGUUUUUUUGUUUAGUAAUAGUUGUUCAUGAGUCCCUUGUUUGUCCUGAACAGUUAAACUGCCUGCUGUUCUUCAAAAAAAUCCUUCAGGUCCCACAAAUUAUUUGGUUUUUCAGCAUUUUGUGUAUUUGAACUCCAACAAUGACUGUAUGAUUUUGAUUUCCAUGUCUUUACAUUGAGGACUCAUAUGCAACUAUUACAUAAGGUUCAAACACUCACUGAUGCUUAAGACGGAAACACAAUGCAUUAAGAGCAUGGGGGUGAAAACUUUUGAACAAAAUGAAGAUGCAUACAUUUUUCUUAUUUUGCCCUAAUAUCAUAUUUUUUUAUUUAGUACUUCCCUACAGAAGCUACAGAAGAUAGUUUCCCAGAAGACAAAAUAAGUGACAUUUUCCCUUUCAAAUUCAAAAAGUUUUCACCCUCUGGCUGUUAAUGCAUUGUGUUUUCUUUAUUCAGGUAAGUACUAGAUAAAAAAAAUAAAUAAAUAACAUGCGUUUUGUAUGAUCCCUCUUAUAAUAACAUUUUGCAGAUUCUGCAAGGUGUAUGUAAACUUUUGACUUCAACUGCCUGCUUAUAUUAACAGUAAGCAGUACCAAAGUCAGGUGAAUUUGGUGAACGUGAUUUUUUUUAGUGUUUCAUCAUGGCUAAGGUCAAUAAAAAUGCAGUGUUGAUUUAUAACAACAAACGGUUGGGUUUUCUUAAAAACCACAUGCUAAAAUGUUUUAAUUUGACUUAUUACAGUGACUAAAACGUUUUGUAUUAUAACUGUAAUUUAUGAAUUAUGUCCACCUUAUUUUUCCUGAGUCUGGGUUCCAGUCUCAUCCACAUCCAGCUAUUUUUAGCUGUACAAAACAGCUCAUUUUGUUGCUUGAUAUUGCAAACAGCGGCUAAUGAACCGGAAAUCUCGCCCAUGAGCUUACUUCUGCGGUAAAGAAUAAGGUUUCUACAGCUGUCAUUAAUGGACUCCCAAAAAGUAAGAUUCCUGCCUUUCUUUCUUCUUUCCCUUACAGAGAACCAUAAAAUCAAUACUGCUAUAUUAGAACACAAAGCAGCAAAGGGCAGACACUUGUGGGUGGUUGUUUG